AUGAGGCAGUGUGCACGUGAGCCUCAGGCGCCUCCUGAUUGGCCUGGAUCGGUAAGUCAACCAAGUGUUUUUAAAAUGUCGUGCCGCGGGGUGAAGAAAAGUAAGGAUUGUCUGGGGCAGAAGAAGAUCACGUCGUUUUACUGUCAGGAACCUAAGAGAGAUGGCGGAAGCGAGAUCGGCUCCAUUGAAGGAGCGAUUGAAGGAGCAAUCGUCGGCGAGGGAUCCAGGGCGUUACUGGAAGACUCAACCGCGCCCAGCGAAAGCGUGUUUGGGGAAUCGGUGACUAUUGACAGCCAGAUGACUGGAGAAAAUGAAGGAAACGAAUGUUCCUUUGAGAGGCAAGAAGAGAAAAAGAUGGAGUUCAAGCAAAGUUUCAAGAAGAAGAAUUCAGGCCAUCUAGUGGGAUACCAGGACGAGUGGGCAAAAAAGCCUUACACCUGGCUGUACCCAGUUAACAACCGAACUGGAAUGAUGUGCACUGUGUGCAAGAGGCACAGACAGCGUCAGAGGAACGGAGAGUACAUCUGGAGUGUUGUUCCAUGCACCAGCCUCCGGAAGGACCAUGUGCUACGUCAUCAUAAAUCGGAACAACAUACCGGAGCCUCCCUUAAAGAUCAGAAACGCUUGGCUGCAGAGGUGAACGGGGGAAUCAAGCAGGCCAUGGCAGAUAUGGUUUCCAUGAACCGAGAGGCCAUCAAAGCAGCAAUGAAGCUCGUCUAUCACCUAGCCAAGAAAGAAAUUCCCCACACUACGAACUUCAGAGACAUGAUCAAGUUUGCCGGAUCAGAGUUAGGUUGUGAAGUCCUCCGUCCACUACAAGUGGGAGCCAAUGCCACCUACACAAGCAUUACCAUCGCCAAUGAGUUCCUGGCAGUUAUUGCAGCCAUGGUUGAGGAGGCGACACUGGCGACGGUCAGGGACAGCCCCUUUUUGGGGCUCAUGUGUGAUGAGACGGUGGACAUAUCCACCACCAAUGAACUUGUUCUCUACUGCAGGUGCAUAGAUGGUGACGGCAACCUGCAGGUGAAAUUCCUGCAGGUCAUGGAUGGACUUAAGGAUGGCAAAGCUGUCACCAUCAAGGAUGCCAUCACAGGGUACUUGGGAGAGAAGAACCUGUCCCUGCUGAAGGUGGCAGGGUUUGGCUCGGAUGGAGCUGCCUGUAUGAUAGGUGAGUUUGUGGUCUCUACAUUAGAUUUAAUACAUCCUGCAUUCCCUUAUCUAUCUUAAUCACUUAUCACAAAAUAAGAAGGAAAGGUAAUACAAUCCUAUUGUUCUAAAUAUUCCUUUCCAGGACGAAAAGGCGGUGUGGCCACGCUACUGAAACAGGACAAUGAAAAGAUUGUCAACAUUCACUGUGUGGCCCAUCGCCUUGCCCUAGCUGUUGGCCAAGCUGGAAGUCAGGUGAAGUACAUCGGAGAGACCUUCAAGCCCAACCUGUACACGCUAUACCUGUACUACGAAGUGAAGGCCUGAGAGAGAUUCAG
rnacentral:lncRNA from 1 species